rnacentral:rRNA from 1 species
CCUACGGGAGGCAGCAGUGAGGAAUAUUGGUCAAUGGUCGGGAGACUGAACCAGCCAAGCCGCGUGAGGGAUGAAGGUACAGAGUAUCGUAAACCUCUUUUGUCAGGGAACAAAGGCGGGGACGUGUCCCCGGAUGAGUGUACCUGAAGAAAAAGCAUCGGCUAACUCCGUGCCAGCAGCCGCGGUAAUACGGAGGAUGCGAGCGUUAUCCGGAUUUAUUGGGUUAAAGGGGUGCGCAGGCGGUCUGUUAAGUCAGCGGUCAAAGCCCGGGGCUCAACCCCGGCCCGCCGUUGAAACUGGCAGUCUAGAGUUGGAGAGAAGUAUGCGGAAUGCGCGGUGUAGCGGUGAAAUGCAUAGAUAUCGCGCAGAACUCCGAUUGCGAAGGCAGCAUGCCGGCUCCACACUGACGCUGAGGCACGAAAGCGUGGGUAUCGAACAGGAUUAGAUACCCCGGUAGUC